GAUGAACGCUGGCGGCGUGCCUAACACAUGCAAGUCGAGCGAUCUCUUCGGAGAGAGCGGCGGACGGGUGAGUAACGCGUGGGUAACCUGCCCUGUACACACGGAUAACAUACCGAAAGGUAUGCUAAUACGGGAUAAUAUAUAAAAGUCGCAUGGCUUUUAUAUCAAAGCUUUUGCGGUACAGGAUGGACCCGCGUCUGAUUAGCUAGUUGGUAAGGUAACGGCUUACCAAGGCGACGAUCAGUAGCCGACCUGAGAGGGUGAUCGGCCACACUGGAACUGAGACACGGUCCAUACACCUACGGGUGGCAGCAGUGAGGAAUCUUCCGCAAUGGACGAAAGUCUGACGGAGCGACACCGCGUGAAGGAUGAAGGUUUUGUUAUUGUAAACUUCUUUUCUCAGGGACGAUAAUGACGGUACCUGAGGAAUAAGGGACGGCAAACUAUGUGCCAGCAGCCGCCGUAA
rnacentral:rRNA from 1 species